rnacentral:rRNA from 1 species
GAUGAACGCUAGCGGCAGGCCUAAUACAUGCAAGUCGGACGGGAUUGAGGAGCUUGCUCUUCAUGAGAGUGGCGCACGGGUGCGUAACACGUAUUUAACCUCCCUUGUCCAGGGGGAUAGCCUCUCGCACGAGAGAGUAAGACCGCAUAACAUAUUGAAGUGGCAUCACUUUAUUAUGAAACAUUUAUAGGAACAAGAUGGGCAUGCGGAACAUUAGCUAGUGGGUGAGGUAACGGCUGACCAAGGAGACGAUGUUUAGGGGAUCUGAGAGGAUGGCCCCCCACACUGGUACUGAGACAGGGACCAGACUCCUACAGGAGGCGGCAGUAAGGAAUAUUGGUCAAUGGACGGAAGUCUGAACCAGCCAUGCCGCGGGCAGGAAGACGGCCGUAUGGGUUGUAAACUGCUUUUGCAGGGGAAUAAACCUCUCCACGUGUAGAGAGCUGAAUGUACUCUGAGAAUAAGGAUCGGCUAACUCCGUGCCAGCAGCCGCGGUAA